GACGAACGCUGGCGGCGUGCCUAAUACAUGCAAGUAGAACGCACAGGAUGCACCGUAGUUUACUACACCGUAUUCUGUGAGUUGCGAACGGGUGAGUAACGCGUAGGUAACCUGCCUGGUAGCGGGGGAUAACUAUUGGAAACGAUAGCUAAUACCGCAUAAGAACAUUUACUGCAUGGUAGAUGUUUAAAAGGUGCAAAUGCAUCACUACCAGAUGGACCUGCGUUGUAUUAGCUAGUAGGUGAGGUAACGGCUCACCUAGGCGACGAUACAUAGCCGACCUGAGAGGGUGAUCGGCCACACUGGGACUGAGACACGGCCCAGACUCCUACGGGAGGCAGCAGUAGGGAAUCUUCGGCAAUGGGGGGAACCCUGACCGAGCAACGCCGCGUGAGUGAAGAAGGUUUUCGGAUCGUAAAGCUCUGUUGUUAAGGAAGAACGAGUGUGAGAAUGGAAAGUUCAUACUGUGACGGUACUUAACCAGAAAGGGACGGCUAACUACGUGCCAGCAGCCGCGGUAAUACGUAGGUCCCGAGCGUUGUCCGGAUUUAUUGGGCGUAAAGCGAGCGCAGGCGGUUAGAUAAGUCUGAAGUUAAAGGCAGUGGCUCAACCAUUGUAGGCUUUGGAAACUGUUUAACUUGAGUGCAGAAGGGGAGAGUGGAAUUCCAUGUGUAGCGGUGAAAUGCGUAGAUAUAUGGGAGGAACACCGGUGGCGAAAGCGGCUCUCUGGUCUGUAACUGACGCUGAGGCUCGAAAGCGUGGGGGAGCGAACNNG
rnacentral:rRNA from 1 species